rnacentral:rRNA from 1 species
AGAAUCAACGCUGGCGGCGUGCCUAACACAUGCAAGUCGAACGAGAAAGUGGAGCAAUCCAUGAGUAAAGUGGCGCACGGGUGAGUAACACGUGACUAACCUACCUUUUAGUGGGGGAUAACCUAGGGAAACCUGGGCUAAUACCGCAUAAUACCUACGGGUCAAAGCAGCAAUGCGCUGAAAGAGGGGGUCGCGGUCGAUUAGUUAGUUGGCAGGGUAAUGGCCUACCAAGACUGUGAUCGAUAUCCGGCCUGAGAGGGCGCACGGACACACUGGAACUGAAACACGGUCCAGACUCCUACGGGAGGCAGCAGUGGGGAAUUUUGCGCAAUGGGGGAAACCCUGACGCAGCAACGCCGCGUGGAGGAUGAAGUCCCUUGGGACGUAAACUCCUUUCGAUGGGAAGAUAAUGACGGUACCCAUAGAAGAAGCCCGGCUAACUCGUGCCAGCAGCCGC